AGCCUGUUCAAAGGAGUCUUAAAAAGGUGCAGAUUUUCCUGGAGGGAGUCGUUUCCGGCUUUCAUGGUUCAAGAGAGCUGAGCUGCCAGUCAGAGUGAUUUCACUUCAGCAACUGUAUCCAGGAGACUCCCGUGUUUCUAUGUUGAGGACCAUUAAGGACCAACAUCCGACCACUGCCACCCCCUCCUCACAUUUGAAAAACACCUUUCCUGUGUCACUGAUUUCAUAUCCAGCUCCUCGGUCACCUGCCCGUCCCAGUCAGCCUGGUGAUUAUCAGGAACCAGCGCGAUGCUGAACUUCCGGCUUUUGACGUCAGCCCUGGCACACUCUAUUCACCAGUGCAGCUUAAGAGGAGGGGUGGAAGACAGAGGGGGAAGGCAUGCAGCAAAGGUUGGAAUCAGGCCUCAGCCAAUAUGGGCUGCACACUCUACCAGAUAUGAAGUUUUUGACCAACUCCAAAUCUGAAAUGUCAAGCGACGAUCUGAGCAGCAGAGCGGGAUGAAGGCCGACGUUGAAGGUGACAGGAGGAGAUGGCUGAUCGAGAGAGCGACUGUGAAAUGGAGGUGGAGAGAGAUGGAAAGU